GGGUCUGUAGCUCAGCUGGUUAGAGCACCUGCCUUUUAAGCAGGGUGUCGUGGGUUCAAGCCCCACCAGACCCUCCA
rnacentral:tRNA from 1 species